rnacentral:rRNA from 1 species
UACGUAGGGUGCAAGCGUUAAUCGGAAUUACUGGGCGUAAAGCGUGCGCAGGCGGUUCGCCGUGUCCGAUGUGAAAGCCCCGGGCUUAACCUGGGAAUGGCAUUGGAAACUGGCGGGCUUGAGUGUGGCAGAGGGGGGUGGAAUUCCACGUGUAGCAGUGAAAUGCGUAGAGAUGUGGAGGAACACCGAUGGCGAAGGCAGCCCCCUGGGCCAACACUGACGCUCAGGCACGAAAGCGUGGGGAGCAAACAGG